AUUAUAUUUAUUUAUUUAUUUGCCUUUUCUUAAAAGAAUUAGGGUUAAGGAUUUGGUUAUUUUAAAAAGGGACCUCGGGAUGCGUGAAGUAAAGAAAAAAAAAAGAGAAAAAAAAGGAAAAUCUUAUUCUUCCUCUCAUCCGCACGCCUCCCUCUCCAAGCCUUCUUCUCCCAGCCGGUCUUCUUCUUCCAGUCGCGCAAGGAGCCCACCGCUUAGCCAUAUCCGCCGUCGAUUGUGCAACAGGAGGCGUCAUCGUUCGUCGUCGAUCCAAAGCCGCUGCCAACGUCACGCGUCCCUGUUGAGUUUGUCGUUGAUGCGAGCCACACCAUCCGCAGCCGUCCUCAGCUGCAUUCUACUGUCGUCGUCAAGGUCGUCAGCACCCGCGGCAGUGGUCAUUCGUAUAGUGUUGAGCCUGCUUGUAUGACCUCUGUUCACGUACUGUGGGGAGACUGAAGUGGAGGUUCUAAGGUGUUGUAGCAGCCGCCAAAGCCUUCAUUAGUUUUUUUUUUUUUUUUUCUUGGCAAGUUUUGGGGUAAGUUGUAUGAGGAUUGUUGAAUUAAUUUUGUUUAGAUUUUGGGGAUUCGCCCCACAAAUUGAACUGUGUGUUUGUGUUGGUGUCAAGGGCUUUGACUCAAGCCUUUCCUAAUUUAGGAGGGAGUUUCAGCUAUUCAGUUUUCUUUGCGUAGGCAUGAACCCAAGGUAAGCGAUUUACUAACGGUUUCCCUCGAACCUAAGCAUGCGUACCACGGUUCUAAUUGGAAUGUAAUAUUUUGAUAUGUCUGUAUAUGGAUGGAUGAUUGGUGAACGAUUAUGUAGUCUUAGUAUGAUUUAUGACGUUGGAUGGAUGCUUAUGUUUGUAUGAGAUUUGCAUGACAUUGCAGUCACUGUUAGCAUU